rnacentral:rRNA from 1 species
AGAGUUUGAUCAUGGCUCAGAUUGAACGCUGGCGGCGUGCCUAACACAUGCAAGUCGAACGGGAAUCUUCGGAUUCUAGUGGCGGACGGGUGAGUAACGCGUAAGAAUCUAACUUCAGGACGGGGACAACAGUUGGAAACGACUGCUAAUACCCGAUAUGCCGCGAGGUGAAACCUAAUUGGCCUGAAGAAGAGCUUGCGUCUGAUUAGCUAGUUGGUGGGGUAAGAGCCUACCAAGGCGACGAUCAGUAGCUGGUCUGAGAGGAUGAGCAGCCACACUGGGACUGAGACACGGCCCAGACUCCUACGGGAGGCAGCAGUGGGGAAUUUUCCGCAAUGGGCGAAAGCCUGACGGAGCAAUGCCGCGUGAGGGAGGAAGGUCUUUGGAUUGUAAACCUCUUUUCUCAAGGAAGAAGUUCUGACGGUACUUGAGGAAUCAGCCUCGGCUAACUCCGUGCCAGCAGCCGCGGUAAUACGGGGGAGGCAAGCGUUAUCCGGAAUUAUUGGGCGUAAAGCGUCCGCAGGUGGUCAGCCAAGUCUGCCGUCAAAUCAUGUUGCUUAACGACCUAAAGGCGGUGGAAACUGGCAGACUAGAGAGCAGUAGGGGUAGCAGGAAUUCCCAGUGUAGCGGUGAAAUGCGUAGAGAUUGGGAAGAACAUCGGUGGCGAAAGCGUGCUACUGGGCUGUAUCUGACACUCAGGGACGAAAGCUAGGGGAGCGAAAGGGAUUAGAUACCCCUGUAGUCCUAGCCGUAAACGAUGGAUACUAGGCGUGGCUUGUAUCGACCCGAGCCGUGCCGAAGCUAACGCGUUAAGUAUCCCGCCUGGGGAGUACGCACGCAAGUGUGAAACUCAAGGAAUUGACGGGGGCCCGCACAGCGGUGGAGUAUGUGGGUUUAAUUCGAUGCAACGCGAGACCUUACCAGACUUGACAUGUCGCGAACCCUGGUGAAAGCUGGGGGUGCCUUCGGAGCCGCGAACAACAGGUGGUGCAUGCUGUCGUCAGCUCGUGUCGUGAGAUGUUUGGGUUAAGUCCCGCCACGAGCGCCAA